UGGAAGUUGGUUUCUAGAAGGUGCUCUCAUU
rnacentral:piRNA from 1 species